rnacentral:sRNA from 1 species
UCGUGUUAGCGAUAGAAGUGGCAUCCUUUUUUGGAUCAAUAUCACUUCCAUUUAUAUACCUAUAUAUAUAAGGAGUAAUUCUCGAAGUAAAAACUACACCUAAAUAGUAUAGUCCAAAAAAGAUAUAGCGGAUAGCGCGGCUCUUU